rnacentral:rRNA from 1 species
UACGAAGGGGGCUAGCGUUGCUCGGAAUCACUGGGCGUAAAGGGUGCGCAGGCGGUGUGGUAAGUUUGGUGUGAAAUCCUGGGGCUCAACCCCAGAAUUGCACUGAAUACUGCCAUGCUAGAGGACUGGAGAGGAGAUUGGAAUUCACGGUGUAGCAGUGAAAUGCGUAGAUAUCGUGAGGAAGACCAGUGGCGAAGGCGAAUCUCUGGACAGUUCCUGACGCUCAUGCACGAAGGCUAGGGGAGCAAACGGG